rnacentral:rRNA from 1 species
GAAAUAUUAACUGUUUCAUUUAAAUUUUUUAUAGAAUUUUAUUUUUUAGUCAAAAAGCUAAAAUUUAUUUAAAAGACGAGAAGACCCUAUAAAUCUUUAUAUUUUAUUUAUUUUAACUAUAAAGAUUAUUUUGGUUAUAAUAAAUUAAAAUAUUUUAUUGGGGUGAUAUUAAAAUUUAAAUAACUUUUAAUUUUAAAAACCAUUGAUUUAUGAGUAGUUGAUCCAUUAGUAGUGAUUAAAAAUUUAAGUUACUUUAGGGAUAACAGCGUAAUUUUUUUGGAGAGUUCAUAUCGAUAAAAAAGAUUGCGACCUCGAUGUUGGAUUAAGAUAUAAUUUUGGGUGUAGCUGUUCAAAUUUUAAGUCUGUUCGACUUUUAAAUUCUU